AACUCCGUUAUGAGGAUCCCGGCAGGGCACAACAGGAACAUUCCAAUGGCCUCCUCCAUGCUGGUUUGUUAUUGUAUGUGGCGCUAAAGUCUAAACAGGAAUGUUGUCUUCU